GUAAUUGCAAGGUGCAGCGCUAAGCGCGAUUCGUCGGCCGGAUCGAAUGGCUAGAAACGGAUGGAACCGACUGGUGGAUCGUGGCAAAUGGUGCUGGGCGAAUUCUUGGGAAAAGUGCGCAGGUGGAACGGGAAUUUCGAUCGAGCCGAUUAUUUUAUUUUUGAUUCCCCAACUUUUGUGCAAAUGUUUGUCGAGUUGACAACGAUUUGAAGAUUUCACGACGGAGGAGGCGGACGAUUUUCCUCCGCUUUUCCAGUAACCAAGAAACUCGGACUUCGGACUUGAAACGAGUCUCAACAAGCAAAUAAGAUAAUCUACAUUAUAAACUCGGGGGUAGGGUGAGUAAACGACGAGGAGUUAUUUACUCGGCUCGGAAAGAGGGGAGAAAGGAAACAAAGUAAUAACAACGGAAUGAGAAUAAGAAGGUAGGUUUGAAUCCUUAGGUCGUGCCGCACAAACUUCAACAACUGCGCAGCCGCAUUAAGGCGGCUUUCUAUCGCGUUUAUUAUCCGCGGCAAAUGGCUUCUGCCAACCUCGUUUCUCUAAUUCCGUGAAUCCCGCCCCGCGAUGACCGUUCGAUCCUCCACUUUGUAUUCUAAUUCGUUGCCGAUUUCUAUAAAAUAUAUAGAAGCUUCCUUUGAAAUCGAGGAUUUUCGUUCGCUAGAGAAUUGUACUUUACGAAAGUUUUUAGAAAGAAUUAAGAGAAUAUUCGUU